AUCCAAACUCGAACACAACAAAGACUUGGACGAAUUUUUUAUCUCCUUCUGCACCUUAGAUUGAAAAUAAAAAACCCAAUCAAUUUCGAAUUGAACUCCAAUAAAGGAAAAUCCGUCAUCAUUCUUAUGAUCCAAUCAAAGAAAAACCCAUCUUCAUUCUUAUGAUUUCGCUGUGUUUUCUUCAACUCAUUAGUUUCAAGGAAUUUGAAGAGAAAUAAGAACGAAGAAGGUGAUUUAUUUCUGGUGAAAUCCAUUGGUUAUCGUUGCUGGGAAAAGCUUCAACUCAGCAAAACGUCUUUUGUGCAUUGGCUUGAAGUUGGUCUUCAAUAUCACUUCAGUCGAGCAGGGAUGCUAUUGAAUCACAAGACCCGAAACGAGCCAUGCAAACCUGGCGCCCACUUCAUCACACUUGAAAAGAUCAAUGGUGAGGAGAAGAAGCUGCAUACAAAAAUUAAGGCACAUGAAGCCAUCUCACUUAUAUACUCAAGCUCAUCAGAAACAGUGUUCACUAAGGGGUUAGUUGUUAUUCUCCUGGGUGAAUGUGUAAUCUAUAACAGAUCUGCUGAGAGUGGUAAGGAUUCUUUUAUGGUAGUUGAUGCCAUCAGCCAGAAGAUUGGUCUUUACUCCAUACUUCCUAAAUUUGAAUUGCACAGAAGAGGUUUCCUUCGAUUUUUCGAACAAGGUAUGUUUUGGUUUAAAAUAUUUAUCUUCAAUUUUACUUUUUCCCAUUACACUCUUCGUAAAGAUUCUUCAGUCCUAUCCCUUUACUGUACCUAUUGUCCCAUUGGCAAUCGUAAAGUAAAUGUUGCCGAACUGCCAUAGACACCCAAACUUUUUUUUUUUGCCUUGCAGGAGUCUGUCCAGUUUAUAGAAAAUCUCGCAUGCCUGUACAGUUUGAUACAUUAAGUUUCUGUACGCCAAACAACAAUGAUUUCUUGACUAGUACAUGAGCAAUAUUUAGUGUAUGCUGAAUGCACAUAGUUUUGUUAUGUUUAAUCAACUGAGGAUAAUGGAUUGCGGAAGGAAAACUUGCACACUACUAUUUAAUUUGUAAUGAUGAUUUCCCAUUUUGUCUUCAGUCCUGGUCCUAGUUCUAGAUCAAGUUGAAUGUUGACAUUUUGUUGUUUGGUGCUGCUGCUGGUUUAUGACAUUUCUAACUGUAUGCCGAAAGUCAAUUAUUGGUUUAUGACAUUUCUUAGAUGUGCAUAUGCGGGGGUGAACCCCAGGAUCGAAGUGGACAGUAGAGUGACUUCUAAAAAUGCUUUCCAAGGUGUAGUUAUGAACUCUUAUGGAUUUCUUUAGUAAUUAGAUACUAUUGGGUCAGCACCAAUAUAUCUUUACUUCGGACAUGCAACACAUACAAAAAUGUUUGAAAAUCCUGUGGUUAUUCACAUACAGUUGGCUCAUCUUAUCGAUGUGCAAGGUAAAUGUCUCCUCAAACCUACUCUUUGUAACAUGGAUUUCUUUGUUUGGUUACUUUGUUACUUCUAAGACAUACCCAUUUAUGGCCCUUGCUCCGCAACAAAAUGGAAGGGUGGUAACUAUGGCCUAAGUACCGCACAUGCCCAUGUAUGGACUGCAUUUUCUUCUAUUUUCUCUACUUAGUUAAAUUAUUGAUUGACUCAGCUUAUUAGUUGUGAAGUUGUUUAAUUCUGGGGUUUGACUGUUUAAGAACUCCAAAAAUUAGUUUGUCCUCUCAUUGCUGUAUUGUCUUGUUUUUUAGGUUUGUUGUUCCUCUCAUUUCCAGUUUUUAGCCAGAAGAUAUUGAAUAUAUGAAAUUGCUGUUUUCUUUUUGACUUUUUUUUAUAGAUUGCUAGGAUAAAGCGGUACGGGGACAAGUUUUUUGUAGAUGAGGUAUGCUACUUGCUCUUGCAAAUGCCGAACUGGUUUGUUCGGUUGUUCCUCAUUCCUCACACAUCGAAUAAAGCAACCUCUAUAGGCAAAUCUAUCCACCACAGUCAUGGACGACAUUUUUUGGGCAAUAGUACUGCUAUUUGUCUAAGUACAUAGAUUCUUCAAGAAUUAAUUUCACUGUUCCGACCUUUGUGCUAAAUGGUCGUUAUAGACUUUAAAGUGGGGAUAGCAAACGAUACAUCAUGUCAGUUCUAGACCUUUGUCAGUUUUUCUUAAGGUUUCAUGGAACUGCGUUUUCGAUUGACUUUUUUUUUCUUGGUUGUCUGUCCGAGUGGUUAAUGUGUUUGCAGUUGACAAAUUAAGAAGAUAAUCAUAUAAUUCUUUAAACUAUACGUGUUUGAAUACUAAU